rnacentral:tRNA from 2 species
GGGGCAUUAGCUCAGCUGGAUAGAGCAGCCGCCUUCUAAGCGGCAGGUCAGACGUUCGAAUCGUCUAUGCCCUACCA